GACGAACGCUGGCGGCGUGCCUAAUACAUGCCAGUAGAACGCUGAAGGAGGAGCUUGCUUCUCUGGAUGAGUUGCGAACGGGUGAGUAACGCGUAGGUAACCUGCCUGGUAGCGGGGGAUAACUAUUGGAAACGAUAGCUAAUACCGCAUAAUAUUGACUAUUGCAUGAUAGUCAGUUGAAAGGUGCAACUGCACCACUACCAGAUGGACCUGCGUUGUAUUAGCUAGUUGGUGGGGUAACGGCUCACCAAGGCGACGAUACAUAGCCGACCUGAGAGGGUGAUCGGCCACGCUGGGACUGAGACACGGCCCAGACUCCUACGGGAGGCAGCAGUAGGGAAUCUUCGGCAAUGGACGGAAGUCUGACCGAGCAACGCCGCGUGAGUGAAGAAGGUUUUCGGAUCGUAAAGCUCUGUUGUAAGAGAAGAACGAGUGUGAGAGUGGAAAGCUCACACUGUGACGGUAUCUUACCAGAAAGGGACGGCUAACUACGUG
rnacentral:rRNA from 1 species